CAGCAUCUUUCUCAAAGAGCUGGAAAAAUACGAACACGUCCCUGAAGAUGUUGGAAAGUGCUUUGUCACAUGGGCUGAUAAAUUCCAGUUGUAUGUGGAAUACUGCAAGAACAACGAAGAAUCGACUCGGCUCAUCACGGAGCUGCUGUGGACUAUUUUAAUAACAUUGAGCAGAAGCACGGACUCGCCAACUCUGUCAACUCCUACCUGCCGAAGCCAGUUCAGAGAAUAACGAAAUAUCCACUCCUGCUAAAGGAUCUCCUGGAAUGCUGUGAGAAAGGGAAAGCCGAACUCAAGAAAGCCCUGGAUGUGACUCAGAAUUCCCAAGAGAGCCAACGAUGCUAUACAUCUCUUCAUGCUGGAAGGAUUUGAUGACAGCGUUGAGUCCCAAGGUGAGCUGCUCCUACAGGACUCCUUCAAAGUAUGGUACUCAAAGAUCCCAUUCAAAAUGGGCAAAAAUAGACAGCUCUUCCUCUUGGAGAAGUCCUUGGUGGUCUGCAAGGUGGUCUGCAAGGUGGUCAAGGACGCCAAGGGGAAGAGCAGGCACAUAUACAAGAAAAAACUCAAUAUAGCUGAAAUAAAGAUGACAGAGCACCUGAAGGGAGACCCCCGCAUAUUUGCUUUCGCGUUGGGCCGAACCUGGACAUCCAGCAAGAUUGUUUUGAAGAGAUCAAGAUGGACUGGAUCCAACAUAUCCUGAAGCUGAUACAGGAGCAGACCAUCCACCUGGGGGAGGCGCUUAAGGAGCCGAGGCGUAUUCCCAAAAGUCAAAGGAAUGGAAAACAUCACAAAGAUGAAGGUGAAAGAAAGAUCGAUGCCUGCUACAUUGGAGGACCCUGGCUAAUACCCGGUACAAAGAAAAGUGGGCUUCUCAAAGUGACAUACACAUAGGAACUUACAUAAACUUGGACACAUUGAUAAGGUCCUUGUAAAAACAAACAAACAAACAAACAAACGAAGAAAACAGCUUUGAGCUAUUUCAAAAUGUCAAGUUGUAAUAUAUGUAUGUACUGUAUAUAAUUUGUGUUGUUUUUGUACACGUUUUAAAAAAUGAUUUCUUGUAUA